GACGAACGCUGGCGGCGUGCCUAAUACAUGCAAGUAGAACGCUGAAGCUUGGUGCUGGCCCCGAGCGUAUGAUUUGCGAACGGGAGAGUAACGCGUAGGUAACCUGCCGGGUAGCGGGGGAUAACUAUUGGAAACGAUCGCUAAUCCCGCAUAAUAGUAGAUGUUGCAUGACAUUUGCUUAAAGGGUGCAAUUGCAUCACCACCAGAGGGACGUGCUUUGUUUUAGCUAGUUGGAGAGGUAACGGCUCACCAAGGCCACGAUACAUAGCCCACCUGAGAGGGUGAUCGGCCACUCUGGGACUGACACACGGCCCACACUCCCACGGGAGGCAGCAGUAGGGAAUCUUCCGUAAUGCACGGAACUCAGACCGAACAACCCCUCGUGUGUGAAGAAGGUUCUCGGAUCGUAAAUCUCUUUGUAAGAUAAGAACGAGUGUGAUAGUGGAAAGUUCACACUGUGACUGUCUCUUACCUAAUUGGACGGCUAACUACUUGCCAGCAUCCGCGGGAUACUUUGGUCCCGAGGUUUUGUGGGGAUAUAUUGGGCGUAGGCGAGCGCUGGUGGUAUAUAAUUGUGUGAUUAAGUCUGGGGGCUUACCCAUAGCACUCUUUGUAAACUGUUUAACUGUGAGUGCGAGAGGGUAGAGUGGAUUUUCUUGUUGUUGGUUUAUGUUGUUAUAUAUUUGGAGGAACUCCUGUGGCGAUGCGUUGCUCUGUGUGUCGUCUGCUUGCGGGUUGUGAGCGGGUGGAUGUUUGUUUUGUGUGUCGUGGUGUUCGAGGGGAUGUCGCGUUGGUUUUGGUGCUUUGACUCUGUUGUGUUUUAUAAUUGUUUAGAUGUGUUUUUUUCUUGUUUGUGUGUUGGUGUUGGUUGGUGGUGGUGUGUUGUGUGUGUUUGUGUGUUGGUGUGCUGUUGUUCUGUGUGUGUGUGGAUCGUUAUGUUUCGUAUCUUGCUGUGGUUGCUAUGUUGCUCGGUGUUGUGUGAUCGUGCUUGUGUC
rnacentral:rRNA from 1 species